AUCCACAAAAAGAAACUAUAAAUGUGAUCCAGAGAAAGAGACAAUUGAAGUGUCUGUAAAAUCUGAUGAUAAACAUAUGCAUGACCAUAAUCACCGCCUACGUCAUCACCAUCGUUUGCAUCAUCAUCUUGAUCAUAACAACACUCACCAUUUUCAUAAUGAUUCCAUUACUCCCAGUGAGCGUGGGGAGCCUAGCAAUGAACCUUCAACAGAGACCAAUAAAACCCAGGAACAAUCUGAUGUUAAACUACCGAAAGGAAAGAGGAAGAAAAAAGGGAGGAAAAGUAAUGAAAAUUCUGAGGUUAUUACACCAGGUUUUCCCCCUAACCAUGAUCAGGGUGAACAGUAUGAGCAUAAUCGGGUCCACAAACCUGAUCGUGUACAUAACCCAGGUCAUUCUCAUGUACAUCUUCCAGAACGUAAUGGUCAUGAUCCUGGUCGUGGACACCAAGAUCUUGAUCCUGAUAAUGAAGGUGAACUUCGACAUACUAGAAAGAGAGAAGCACCACAUGUUAAAAAUAAUGCAAUAAUUUCUUUGAGAAAAGAUCUUAAUGAAGAUGACCAUCAUCAUGAAUGUUUGAACGUCACUCAGUUAUUAAAAUACUAUGGUCAUGGUGCCAACUCUCCCAUCUCAACUGAUUUAUUUACAUACCUUUGCCCUGCAUUGUUAUAUCAAAUCGACAGCAGACUUUGUAUUGAGCAUUUUGACAAACUUUUAGUUGAAGAUAUAAAUAAGGAUAAAAACCUGGUUCCUGAAGAUGAGGCAAAUAUAGGGGCAUCAGCCUGGAUUUGUGGUAUCAUUUCUAUCACUGUCAUUAGCCUGCUUUCCUUGCUAGGCGUGAUCUUGGUUCCUAUCAUUAACCAAGGAUGCUUCAAAUUCCUUCUUACAUUCCUUGUUGCAUUAGCUGUAGGAACAAUGAGUGGAGACGCCCUUCUUCAUCUACUGCCCCAUUCUCAGGGUGGACAUGAUCACAGUCACCAACAUGCACAUGGGCAUGGACAUUCUCAUGGACAUGAAUCUAACAAGUUUUUGGAAGAAUAUGAUGCUGUAUUGAAAGGACUUGUUGCUCUAGGAGGCAUUUACUUGCUAUUUAUCAUUGAACACUGCAUUAGAAUGUUUAAGCACUACAAACAACAAAGAGGAAAACAGAAAUGGUUUAUGAAACAGAACACAGAAGAAUCAACUAUUGGAAGAAAGCUUUCAGAUCACAAGUUAAACAAUACACCAGAUUCUGACUGGCUUCAACUCAAGCCUCUUGCCGGAACUGAUGACUCGGUUGUUUCUGAAGAUCGACUUAAUGAAACUGAACUGACAGAUCUAGAAGGCCAACAAGAAUCCCCUCCUAAAAAUUACCUUUGUAUAGAAGAGGAGAAAAUCAUAGACCAUUCUCACAGUGAUGGAUUACAUACCAUUCAUGAGCAUGAUCUCCAUGCUGCUGCACAUAACCACCACGGCGAGAACAAAACUGUGCUGAGGAAGCAUAAUCACCAGUGGCACCACAAGCAUUCUCAUCAUUCCCAUGGCCCCUGUCAUUCUGGAUCCGAUCUGAAAGAAACAGGAAUAGCUAAUAUAGCCUGGAUGGUGAUCAUGGGGGAUGGCAUCCACAACUUCAGUGAUGGGCUCGCAAUUGGUAAGUGGACUGGAAACCACUGUCUGUGCUAAUCUUAUGGACUAUAAUAUGUAUGAUUAAAUUUGGCUGGAGCUUAACAAAUACACGGUUAUGUAUCACUCUGGUCAGUUGAUUUUUCCCAAAGGCUACAGUUUUGUGUUCAGUUGUUACAUUUGGAGGUGUAAGGGUAUAAUUUAGUGGGGUUUUUUAGAACACGUAAACAAAUGUCUGUAGUAUAUUUCUUUAAUAACUUGAUUUCUCAAAGUAGAGUUACCAUAUUGAAAAAACUGCUUAACAUUAUAUUUUGAAAUGUAUUUACAUAUCCCUAAAAGAGAACAGUUUAAUUUCAAUCUUAGGUUUAAUAAAUUUGCCAUAUCUUUGAAAAGGCAAAAAAA
rnacentral:sRNA from 1 species